rnacentral:lncRNA from 1 species
UAAAAUAAGUACCAGUUGAACACUGGGGUCGGUAUAAUCGACUAGUUCCCUCCCUCAAAAUUUCAGGCCUUGUGCCUUUAGUAGAAAGGAUUAUUAUUAUUAUUAUUAUUAUUGCUUUUUGGCAAAUAAGGUCUCUUUCCUUUGUAUCCUUAAGUUUAAAAAUAUCUUGUUUUUCUAUUAGUGAUAAAUUGUGUUAUUCAUUGUUGUAGAACCAAUCACAACUGUAAAUGACUAGUUGUUUUCUCUGUUUUUUGAUCCCUUGGAGCCAAAAUUUGAGAAGAUAUUUCUGAAACUUAUUUUGAACACAAUAUUAGACUGUAACCAGCCAACCAGCCAGAGGGUUUAGUGAGGGGCGCUUUGAGAGGAAAAUGGAACUAUUUGUAUGAAUGUUUUCCUCCUGUGAUAGGCCAAAGUUAAAAAUAUUAAUACCCACCGCUGUAACAAAUAUCAGCCUCGACAACAGUAACGAUAACAAGUACAAUUACAUACCAAAUGAAAAGUACUACAGUAGCAGAAUGACAAAAACAACUCCACUGCUGCUGUUGUCACAAACACUACAACUAUUUAAAAUAAAUUAAUAAACGAUGAACUAUUUCUGGAAUUUGGGAUCUUCUCUCAAAUAGCGAGAUCUGAAGACUUUUAAGUGGAGCCUUCAAGGAAUCUCUGAACUCCUUGGUAACCAGAUUGUUUUUCAACCAAAAGUAAAUAGAUUCUCACCUUUUUCCCGCUACUCAGUGGAAAAUGGUACUUAAAGUACAUCUGACAUUUAACAAAUGACCUCAGCUUAGUAGGUAAUAGAUGUUGCGAGGGCUGGAUGCAUGCUCUUAUGCCCAUCGAUAACUUCGAUAUAUUGCUUCUCUUAGUCGGCCUUGAAAAGCCUGGAUUUCGAAGUUCUGCCAUACUUCCUAGAUCUGGAUGAUGCGUUGGUGGUCCUGGAAGUGAGCUGUAGUGAAGGCGGUGCCUUCAGACUUGUAGCUGUCUAUUAUCCCUUUUAAAGGAAUGCAACUUUGAUCAAGGCAGAGAUGAAUCCGUAUAAGUUAAUGGGCUUGCAGUUUAGUACUUCGAGAAGCAAGGCCAGAUUGUUCAUCCAGCGUCGUGGGCCAAUGGGUGAAUGGUUCGGUUUUGUCGAUUGGAGUCUGGUUUGGACCAGACCUCAAGUGACAUUAGGAACAGGGUGAUCAGUUUCACCAAGAAAUGGGCCGGGAGUACGAUAACAUUGAAAGGUCUGGUAGAAGUUAUAUAUCACCUUAUAUCGUCUCUCUACUUUGUUACUCUCUGACCAUCUAGUUUACAUUUGUGUAGUGAGGAGUGGUCUGCUCCUUGGCUUUUUUGUGGAAAGGACGUGAUCCUUUGCUCAGACAAUCAGUCCAUUUACUCUCACUCCUUCCUUACAUGGGAGGUUUGAUAUGCUGUGGAUGAUGAUGCCCUAGUGUGCUCUGGCUACAACACAAGAUUCGUAGACAGUGAGCAGAUGUGGCUCCCUAUUGGCAGGAACAUCUUUUCAUAGCUCGUCUCCUUGACGGAGCUGCAAUCCUGGGUUAAGCAAAGCUCAAGACUGGGUACUUGGUAUACGGGUAUGAAAUGUCAAGCGUUCUCCAGAGGACGAGUAAUGAAGAAGGGCAACGAAGUUCUUGGAAACACUAGGCAUCAACAAGACUUGGUCUCUCUGGUACAGAAAACUUUCAACUCAGGAACUAUGAAUGAAUUCAAGAAAUCUCCGACGUGGUGCUGUUACUGGUGGAUAUUGCUAAUUCAAGACAAACUCUACAAGCCUGGAAAUGCUGCUAGAUGAGUCUGUACCAAAUGUGAGCAGACCAACGAAACUAUUUUGUAUGUACUCUUUCAGUAUCUGAGCAUUAUUGGUUUGUGAAUUUUGGUCAAAUAUAGCUGUUGUCGUGGGUCGAACGGUUUGCCUGUCAGACAAAUCUUUCAAGAUUUCUACCCCCUCCCUACCACCUUUCGUUGUU